AUUGAACGCUGGCGGCAGGCCUAACACAUGCAGGUCGAGCGGAUGAAGGGAGCUUGCUCCUGGAUUCAGCGGCGGACGGGUGAGUAAUGCCUAGGAAUCUGCCUGGUAGUGGGGGAUAACGUCCGGAAACGGGCGCUAAUACCGCAUACGUCCUGAGGGAGAAAGUGGGGGAUCUUCGGACCUCACGCUAUCAGAUGAGCCUAGGUCGGAUUAGCUAGUUGGUGGGGUAAAGGCCUACCAAGGCGACGAUCCGUAACUGGUCUGAGAGGAUGAUCAGUCACACUGGAACUGAGACACGGUCCAGACUCCUACGGGAGGCAGCAGUGGGGAAUAUUGGACAAUGGGCGAAAGCCUGAUCCAGCCAUGCCGCGUGUGUGAAGAGGGUCUUCGGAUUGUAAAGCACUUUAAGUUGGGAGGAAGGGCAGUAAGUUAAUACCUUGCUGUUUUGACGUUACCAACAGAAUAAGCACCGGCUAACUUCGUG
rnacentral:rRNA from 1 species